rnacentral:rRNA from 1 species
GAUGAACGCUGGCGGCGUGCCUAAUACAUGCAAGUCGAGCGACCAGACGAGGAGCUUGCUCCUCUGACGUUAGCGGCGGACGGGUGAGUAACACGUGGAUCACCUACCUCUAAGACUGGGAUAACUUCGGGAAACCGGAGCUAAUACCGGCUCAUAUAUUGAACCGCAUGGUUCAAUAGUGAAAGACGGCUUUGCUGUCACUUAUAGAUGGAUCCGCGUCGCAUUAGCUAGUUGGUAAGGUAACGGCUUACCAAGGCAACGAUGCGUAGCCGACCUGAGAGGAUGAUCAGCCACACUGGAACUGAGACACGGUCCAGACUCCUACGGGAGGCAGCAGUAGGGAAUCUUCCACAAUGGGCGAAAGCCUGACGGAGCAACGCCGCGUGAGUGAUGAAGGUCUUCGGAUCGUAAAGCUCUGUUAUUAGGGAAGAACAAAUGUGUAAGUAACUAUGCACGUCUUGACGGUACCUAAUCAGAAAGCCACGGCUAACUACGUG